UAGUCGCUUUUCUAUUGACCCUCAAAUUGCGCAAAUAUAACUUGUGCAUAAAAAUUUACCUAAUGGAAAAACGACAACUUUGUCAAAACUCAUAUUUUUCGAUUAAAAGUUUUUGCGCUGGCAAGAGGUGGUUUUUCGGGC